CAGCAGCCACGGGAAUACAGAGGGUGCGAGCGUUAAUCGGAUUUACUGGGCGUAAAGCGUGCGUAGGCGGCUUUUUAAGUCGGAUGUGAAAUCCCUGAGCUUAACUUAGGAAUUGCAUUCGAUACUGGGAAGCUAGAGUAUGGGAGAGGAUGGUAGAAUUCCAGGUGUAGCGGUGAAAUGCGUAGAGAUCUGGAGGAAUACCGAUGGCGAAGGCAGCCAUCUGGCCUAAUACUGACGCUGAGGUACGAAAGCAUGGGGAGCAAACAGGAUUAGAUACCCGGGUAGUCCCUGUCUCUUUAUA
rnacentral:rRNA from 1 species